AGUGAACGCUGGCGGUAGGCCUAACACAUGCAAGUCGAACGGCAGCACAGUAAGAGCUUGCUCUUACGGGUGGCGAGUGGCGGACGGGUGAGGAAUACAUCGGAAUCUACUUUUUCGUGGGGGAUAACGUAGGGAAACUUACGCUAAUACCGCAUACGACCUACGGGUGAAAGCAGGGGAUCUUCGGACCUUGCGCGAUUGAAUGAGCCGAUGUCGGAUUAGCUAGUUGGCGGGGUAAAGGCCCACCAAGGCGACGAUCCGUAGCUGGUCUGAGAGGAUGAUCAGCCACACUGGAACCGAGACACGGUCCAGACUCCUACGGGAGGCAGCAGUGGGGAAUAUUGGACAAUGGGCGCAAGCCUGAUCCGGCCAUACCGCGUGGGUGAAGAAGGCCUUCGGGUUGUAAAGCCCUUUUGUUGGGAAAGAAAAGCAGCAGGUUAAUACCCCGCUGUUCUGACGGUACCCAAAGAAUAAGCACCGGCUAACUUCGUG
rnacentral:rRNA from 1 species